AAGGGAGGUCGAAUGGAUCUCCCUGGGGAGGAGAAACAGAGUUGAUGUCACAGGUGGAAAUGCAGCACAGGGACCGGGAUCGACACCGGGACAGGAACAUAUGUGUAUCAUGGGCAUGUCUGGUGCCAUGAGACCAGAAGAGGGAACUUGACUUACAGAUGUUUGUGGUGCUGAGAAUCGAACCCAGGUCCUCUGGAGUAGCAACCAGUGCUCUUCUGAGCCACCUCUGCAGCCUGAUAAAAGUCUCCCAUGGGCCUAUCACAGGCAGUUCAUUGUCAUUUUAAAUUAUUAAAAAAUCAAAAUGGA